rnacentral:lncRNA from 1 species
AACAGCCUUUUUAUCGUCCCACUGCUGGGCUGCGGCCUCCUCUCACACGGAGAAGGAUUGAGCGUUAAUCACCACGCUUGCUCAAUGCGGUUUGGUGAUUGCAGACUAUAUAGUGCAAGUUUUCUCAAGAGGUUUUCCUUCACCUUUUAAUCAGCCAUUGGUGUCCAAGAAAGUAAACUGCACACUAAAUAGUCUUCGUGACCUAGUGAGAAAAGAACCAACCUCUCAAGUUUGAGUGCGUGAGUUCGAUUCCAGGCCAGGCAAGUACCAAUGCAACUUUUCUUAGUUUGUAUGUACUUUCUCCCUCUUAUUAUAAAACGCGGUAUCAAAUAAGUAUCGGCUUUUGUACUACCUUUAAUCCACCUUUAAGUACGACCUUGAAAAAACGUUAUUACAAAACGCAGUUUAUCGCAAGUCCUAUUACUAUCUGUAGUACAAAAGAUAAACCAUCGAGCCCCCUAGUUUAACUGCAGUACUUAGUCGACAAACGUCAAAUUCCGACAUUAUUUACUUUUGAGGUUAUUUGUUUUGUGAUGAAAAAAACGAAAGUGGAUAUAAAUAUGUGUGAUUUGGAAUACUUGGAUGUGUUAGAAUACUAUUGUGAGUGUCCGGGGACCCAACAGAAUGCGUCAUCGACAAAAUCUCUUCAAAUUACCUGACGACAAUUUUCGAUAUAAGUAUCGAUUUACGUUUUUCGAAAUAAUAGUCAAUUGAAUGCAUGAUGAUAAUCCAGGAUGAUCCUAUGAUGCUCAACUGGGCUCGCCAUAAAAUUCAAGACUAUUUUGGCGUUUUGCACGCCGUAUCUCUGCCAGUAAUAUGCAAUGUUUGUAAAAGACUGGAAGCUUGCUAAAAUGUACAAAAAUGCCUAGAUGAGAAAGGGAACAAGAUUGUGUGAUGAAGAACAGUGUCCAGCAUGUAUCAGUGCAUUUGACUGUAUAAAUAGACAUCGGAAUAAAAUAUAAUUUUCUACUUUA